UACGGGGGGAGCAAGCGUUGUUCGGAUUUACUGGGCGUAAAGGGCGCGUAGGCGGCGUGACAAGUCACUUGUGAAAUCUCCGGGCUUAACUCGGAACGGUCAAGUGAUACUGUCGUGCUAGAGUACAGAAGGGGCAACUGGAAUUCUCGGUGUAGCGGUGAAAUGCGUAGAUAUCAGGAGGAACACCGGUGGCGAAGGCGGCUUUCUGGACAGAUACCGACGCUGAGGCACGAAAGCUAGGGGAGCAAACAGG
rnacentral:rRNA from 1 species